UUUACACAUUGGCUUUCCAACACAUCAUGCAUAUACUUAUGAUUAAACAUUCAUGAACAACAACUUCAACAUGCACAUGAACUCCAAGAACAAGACUAAAUAUCAUUAUGAAGAUUAACAAGAACAAUCAUCACAUCUCCUUCCAUAAUAUCAUAUAUUCAUAAGCUUCAACCAAGUUUAAGAAACACAAAUGUUUAGCCCAUAAAGCUCACGACAACACAAACAAUUCUUGCAAAUACUUCAAAGUUCAACAUGGAAUUAUGAAAUACCACCAAAAAGCAAGGAUUAUAGGUUGAAUGAUUGAAUCUUGAGUGGUGUUAAACUCCUCUUUGGCUCAUCCAAGCUCCCCAAAUGUAGAAUUUUGAGAGAGAAAAUCACCUCCAAGACCAACACACCUAAAAAAUGAGUUGAAACUCAAAUUUAUAAUGCUGGUCGAUCGGCACGACCAUGCCAAUCUUUGGCAUGGUCGUGCUUGGUCUGUAUCAGUUACACUUUUCGUCUGUCAUUCUUGUUUGCUACCAUUUUUGGCAAAAUACCGCUCAAAAGUUUUCGAGGCGAGCAUGGUCGUGCCAGGUUUUGGCAUGACCAUGCCAGGUCAGUUUUCACCGGUAAUCUUCGAUGGAAAUCUCAUGAACUAGUUGUACCUGGGUUGAUUUGGCCGAGCACGACCAUGCCAAUCAGAAAUCUUGUCCAUUUUUGUUAGUGCUAGCGUUUGGCAUGAUGAUGCUGGUGCUUGGAUGACUGGGCACAACCGUGCCAGGGGAUGGCAUGGCCGUGCCAAUCUUGUUCAUUUUGGAUGGUGCUGGCGUUUGGUAUGAUGGUGCUGGUACUCGGAUGAUUGGGCACGACCGUACUAGGGGAUGGCAUGACCGUGCCAUAUCUGGCAGUUUGCUGGAAUCAUUCGUUUUUGCUCCAUUUUGCUCCAAAAGCCUUCGUUUUACCACAUGGCCGAAGCCCAGACCUGUAUUUUCACAAACAACUCAAAUAUGUACCAAAAUCAAUGAAAAUACAAAGAGUUUUCACAUAAACGGGGAUAAAUUUGACGUUAAAAGAUGUAUGCAUUCUUAUACAUCAUAUAUAGAUGCUCAUCCAAAACCCUAAACCUCUAAUUUGAUUUAUGUAUUUCUAUCUCUGUGUUGCUCUCAUAUAUUGAUUUCAAUUUUUUGAUAAUUAAUUUUAUUUCAAUGAUAAUCGAUUGUGGCUUUGACUUUGUAGUAUAGUAGUUUUUGCAGGUUAUCUCUGUCGUGAUGGUUGUUCAUUCCAACGAACUUUGUCUCGUGUCACAUUAGAAAAUGCACUUUGGUUCCAGGUUGCUAAAGGACUUUCUGCAUCAUCAUCACCUAGAGAACAGGCUGGCACAAAGAAUACAACCCCUUCAACGUUGAACCAUAGGUGUUGAGAGGUGUUGAAAACUGUUGAUGUUGCGAUAUUAAACAAUAUAACUCCUCACACGACUGGAAUAAUGGACGGACUAUGUAUUGCAUUUGAGGUAAAUUUAUUUAGAUUUUUAUUGCAUUGAUGGUAAAAUCUACUAUUCGUUUACUUUUUAGUCAAGCUUGCUUAUUUUGUUGUUAAUAUGUUGAUGUGCAAUUAUCCCCAUAUUAGAUCAUUACAAAGAGGAUUCUAAAUGAAGUGCUUUGACCUUUACAAUGCUUUGACCUUUAUAAAUUAUCCCCAUAUUAGAUGAUUACAAGAGGAUUCUAAACAAAGUUUUUAUCUAAAUAUUGACUAUUUAAUUACUAAGAAGUGUUUUGACCUUUAAAAUGUAUUGUUUUCUUGCAUGUUUAAUUGAUGGUCACCUUUCCAUCUUCAGUAAAAUCUUGACUCUAAUCUUUAAAAAAUACUCGAUAAACAGUCAACGUGCUCUACAAAUGGUAUGUUUUCAUUUUUGUAAUUGUCAAUAACUUUUUAUUUUUUUCAAUAUAAUUAUUGUCAAUCUAUAUGAAACAUCAUAUUUCUAAGAAAUCCAGCAUUUAACACACAAAGUUCUUUUGUUGCAACUGGUCUAUGUCGAUCUGGUGAUCCUAACGAACCUGGUUCCAGUCGGCUUGGAACAUCUCUAACAGAUGUU